rnacentral:rRNA from 1 species
CCUACGGGAGGCAGCAGUGGGGAAUAUUGCACAAUGGGGGCAAGCCUGAUGCAGCCAUGCCGCGUGUAUGAAGAAGGCCUUCGGGUUUAAAGCACUUUCAGCGGGGAGGAAGGCGCUCUGUUAAUACCUCCGCGAGGAUGUAUUUUCGAAGCGCCCCGGGCC